rnacentral:misc_RNA from 1 species
UACGGAGGGGCAAGCGUUAUUCGGAAUCACUGGGCUUAAAGCGCGCGUAGGCGGCGUCGUAAGUCGGAGGUGAAAGUCCGCGGCUCAACCGUGGAAUUGCCUCUGAUACUGCGAUGCUUGAGGGAGGUAGGGGCCUGUGGAACUUCCGGUGGAGCGGUGAAAUGUGUUGAGAUCGGAAGGAACGCCAGUGGCGAAAGCGACAGGCUGGAUCUCUUCUGACGCUGAGGUGCGAAAGCUAGGGUAGCGAACGGG